AACUGGCUGGCUUAGUCGGUAGAGCAUGGGACUCUUGAUCCCAGGGUCAUGAGUUUGAGCUUCAUGUUG
rnacentral:tRNA from 1 species